UUUAACAGAAGCUCUCUUUUAGGUUGAAAUGUUAGGUUUCUUUCUCUAUGAUGAAAAUGUCUUUGAUAACAUAUAUUUGCUUUUGUUUCAAUUUCAGUAUUUUGAAGUUGCAAGUGAAUUAAGAGAAAAGAAACAAAUGUCCAACACCCAAUUAGAGGGAAAAUUUCUAAGGCAGCCCCAGGUCAAAUGUUUGCCCAAAUGGAAUCUUUGGAAUCAUAGAGAUAGUCCUUUACCUCCCAGCCAGCUCCAUCAGGGAGGUGCUGAGAUCACGGUGGAGAGAAAGAAGGGGAUACAUGUGAGGAGUUAGAUCUCUUCUAUGAGAAGAACAACAGGACUGUAGAGAGAACACACAGAAGGUUGACAAGAAGCUGACAUAUGCCCUUGUUUCCAAACAGGGGAGAAAACUGCGAACUCUCCAUGAAGAACCAGCUCCUGGAGAAGAACCAAGUGUGGUGUGGUCUUGUCAGCCUGUUACCUAGCAAGAGUGACAAGAUCAUGUGGGACUCACCAGGUAAUAGAACUCUCAGCUACUUCUCCAACACCAUGUCUGCCUGCAUGCCACCAUGCUCCCUGCCGUGAUGGUAACAGACCAACCUCAGAAUGUAUAAGCAAGGCACGUGAAUGCUUUCUUUGAUAAGAGUGGCCUUGCUCAUGGUGUCUCUUCAAAGCGAUAGAACACUGACCA